rnacentral:rRNA from 1 species
CCUACGGGAGGCAGCAGUGGGGGAUAUUGCACAAUGGGGGGAACCCUGAUGCAGCGACGCCGCGUGGGUGAAGAAGCGCCUCGGCGCGUAAAGCCCUUUCAGCAGGGAAGAAAAUGACGGUACCUGAAGAAGAAGCCCCGGCUCACUACGUGCCAGCAGCCGCGGUAAUACGUAGGGGGCAAGCGUUAUCCGGAUUUACUGGGUGUAAAGGGGGCGCAGACGGCGAUGCAAGCCAGGAGUGAAAGCCCGGGGCCCAACCCCGGGACUGCUCUUGGAACUGGGUGGCUGGAGGGCAGGAGGGGCAGGCGGAAUGCCUGGUGUAGCGGUGAAAUGCGUAGAUAUCAGGAGGAACACCAGUGGCGAAGGCGGCCUGCUGGACUGCAACUGACGUUGAGGCCCGAAAGCGUGGGGAGCAAACAGGAUUAGAUACCCUUGUAGUC